rnacentral:rRNA from 1 species
GCAAGUCGAACGGUAAGGUCUCUUCGGAGAUACACGAGUGGCGCACGGGUGCGUAACACGUAUGCAAUCUACCCUCAACUGGAGCAUAGCUCCGAGAAAUCGGAAUUAAUACUCCAUAACAUUUAAGAAUCGCAUGAUUUUUAAAUUAAAGUUCUGGCGGUUGAGGAUGAGCAUGCGGCCCAUUAGUUAGUUGGUGAUGGUAACGGCUCACCAAGGCAAUGAUGGGUAGCUGGUCUGAGAGGAUGAUC